rnacentral:siRNA from 1 species
ACCAAGAUGCCAAAAUACACGACA